rnacentral:rRNA from 1 species
AGGACGAACGCUGGCGGCGUGCUUAACACAUGCAAGUCGAGCGGAAAGGCCCUUCGGGGUACUCGAGCGGCGAACGGGUGAGUAACACGUGAGCAACCUGCCCCUGGCUCUGGGAUAGCCUCCGGAAACGGGGAUUAAUACCGGACAUUCACUUCCUUCCGCAUGGUUGGUGGUGGAAAGUUUUUUCGGCCGGGGAGGGGCUCGCGGCCUAUCAGCUUGUUGGCGGGGUAACGGCCCACCAAGGCGACGACGGGUAGCCGGCCUGAGAGGGCGACCGGCCACACUGGGACUGAGACACGGCCCAGACUCCUACGGGAGGCAGCAGUGGGGAAUAUUGCGCAAUGGGCGGAAGCCUGACGCAGCGACGCCGCGUGGGGGAUGAAGGCCUUCGGGUUGUAAACCCCUUUCACCAGGAGCGAAUCCAGACGGUACCUGGGGAAGAAGCGCCGGCUAACUACGCGCCAGCAGCCGC